AGUGAACGCUGGCGGUAGGCCUAACACAUGCAAGUCGAACGGCAGCACAGUAAGAGCUUGCUCUUACGGGUGGCGAGUGGCGGACGGGUGAGGAAUACAUCGGAAUCUACUUUUUCGUGGGGGAUAACGUAGGGAAACUUACGCUAAUACCGCAUACGACCUACGGGUGUAAGCAAGGGAUCUUCGGACCUUGCGCGAUUGAAUGAGCCGAUGUCGGAUUAGCUAGUUGGCGGGGUAAAGGCCCACCAAGGCGACGAUCCGUAGCUGGUCUGAGAGGAUGAUCAGCCACACUGGAACUGAGACACGGUCCAGACUCCUACGGGAGGCAGCAGUGGGGAAUAUUGGACAAUGGGCGCAAGCCUGAUCCAGCCAUACCGCGUGGGUGAAGAAGGCCUUCGGGUUGUAAAGCCCUUUUGUUGGGAAAGAAAAGCAGCAGGUUAAUACCUCGCUGUUCUGACGGUACCCAAAGAAUAAGCACCGGCUAACUUCGUG
rnacentral:rRNA from 1 species